AACGAACGCUGGCGGCAGGCUUAACACAUGCAAGUCGAACGCAUCCUUCGGGGUGAGUGGCAGACGGGUGAGUAACACGUGGGAACGUACCUUUCGGCUCGGGAUAACCCAGGGAAACUUGGGCUAAUACCGGAUACGUCCUUUGGGAGCAGUCCUUUGGGAGAAAGAUUCAUUGCCGAGAGAUCGGCCCGCGUCUGAUUAGCUAGUUGGUGGGGUAACGGCUCACCAAGGCGACGAUCGGUAGGGGUCUGAGAGGACGAUCACCCAGACUGGGACUGAGACACGGCCCAGACUCCUACGGGAGGCAGCAGUCGGGAAUUUUGCGCAAUGGACGAAAGUCUGACGCAGCAACGCCGCGUGAGGGAUGAAGGCCUUCGGGUUGU
rnacentral:rRNA from 1 species